CAGAUUGUACCUUCAGGAAUAAUGUCUGUGGUUACUUACUAGAGAAGUUUCUCUGAUGUGUAGAGCACCAGAAACCACAAGGAGGAUAUAAAAAGUUCUCUUCUGAGUGGGAUGUUGGCUUUGAGUGUUGUUUUUGCAACAUCUCUUUGCCAUUGUUGACUAUUCAUGCCACUUUUUUGGUGGCAUGAGGAAAAGAAUGGAGUCGAGUGGU